rnacentral:lncRNA from 1 species
AGGAAUGCAAGAGUAUUCACUAAGACUUGUCGGUGUAACACUGAUAUUUACACUGAUAUAGUGAGAGACAUAGCGUACAACCGUAAUGUUAGAGGCAUCCCUAGAAUUAGACAACAAUUACAACACCUUAAUAUAUAGUAGAAGCUAGAUAGUUAGGACACUAAGUGUAGCUAUUAUGUUACCUUUUAGACAGUUGGCUGAGUUGAAGCUUGGCUGUAGUUUUGUAAUGCAAUUACCAAAAAAAACAAAGUAAUAGGGGUUAGAUAGAACCUAACGCUCGAUUUGGCCGUUGAGAAACAGUGGUGUCGUGAAGAAGUUCAAAGCCUCAAACUGAAUUGAAAUUUGUUGAGCGAGUUCACAAACCGGUAUCCUCCUUGUCAUAUGAACGCUUUUUUUGUUAGAUUCUAAAGAGUUUUAAUGAAAAUUAUGUUUCUAUCUGGAGUUUUUG